rnacentral:rRNA from 1 species
CCUACGGGUGGCAGCAGUGGGGAAUAUUGGACAAUGGGGGGAACCCUGAUCCAGCCAUGCCGCGUGUGUGAAGAAGGCCCUCGGGUUGUAAAGCACUUUCAGUGAGGAAGAACGCCUGGUGGUUAAUACCCAUCAGGAAAGACAUCACUCACAGAAGAAGCACCGGCUAACUCCGUGCCAGCAGCCGCGGUAAUACGGAGGGUGCGAGCGUUAAUCGGAAUUACUGGGCGUAAAGCGCGCGUAGGUGGCUUGAUAAGCCGGUUGUGAAAGCCCCGGGCUCAACCUGGGAACGGCAUCCGGAACUGUCAAGCUAGAGUGCAGGAGAGGAAGGUAGAAUUCCCGGUGUAGCGGUGAAAUGCGUAGAGAUCGGGAGGAAUACCAGUGGCGAAGGCGGCCUUCUGGACUGACACUAACACUGAGGUGCGAAAGCGUGGGUAGCAAACAGGAUUAGAUACCCUGGUAGUC